GUAGGUGGCAAGCGUUGUCCGGAAUUAUUGGGCGUAAAGCGCGCGCAGGCGGUCCUUUAAGUCUGAUGUGAAAGCCCACGGCUCAACCGUGGAGGGUCAUUGGAAACUGGGGGACUUGAGUACAGAAGAGGAAAGCGGAAUUCCGAGUGUAGCGGUGAAAUGCGUAGAGAUUUGGAGGAACACCAGUGGCGAAGGCGGCUUUCUGGUCUGUAACUGACGCUGAGGCGCGAAAGCGUGGGGUGCAAACAGGAUUAGAUACCCUGGUAGUCCACGCCGUAAACGAUGAGUGCUAAGUGUUAGGGGGUUUACCCGCCCCCCUUAGUGCUGCAGCUAACGCAUUAAGCACUCCGCCUGGGGAGUACGGCCGCAAGGCUG
rnacentral:rRNA from 1 species